ACCAGUUUAGUCUAGUGGUUAAAGCAGCAGGCUAGAAACUAGUAAACUGUGAGUUUUAGUUUCGCAACUGGGA
rnacentral:tRNA from 1 species